AGAGAACCCAUGACUCUACUUCGGCAGGAAUCCGAUCAAGACUCGGUGACUGAUGGUACGGUGCAAAUCUUCAAACGAGUGUUGUAUAAGCGUUGUGCCGUCUCACCGUACAGUACGUACAGACACCAACAUAAGACAAGAUGAAGGCCUUUACCUGCUUGGUUCUUCUAAUUUGCUUGGGGUGCGUUCUCGGCUUACCAUUCAAUAAAGAGUCUCCGCAGGAAUCGGGACGUAGGCAAGAAAAACGUACUGAUAUCCUGGGACAGCGCCAGAUAUCCACGGCCCGAUGCUAUUUAACAGGUUGUCCACCUGGUCAGCGCUGCGAUUUAACCUUUGGUUGUGUGUAAACGCACAAGGAGAAUGCAACUUGCGGAAACGGAUGACAUUACUUGCAGUAAUCAAUAAAUGGUGGUAGGGUUUUCUUCAACUAAACGUUUAGUGCUACAAGAUGACAGACUCUGCUCUAUAAACGUCGGCAAAAUCUUGACACUAUUGAGAGCAAGGGUUUUCUUUGUUAU